AACUUCUUAAAAGCUUUAUAUUUUAGAAGGUGGAAGGUCUGGAUGCUUCAUACUUUGUAUAUGGAUGCCUCAUGUUACGAAGUUUCCGUCAGUCACAUGUCCAAUGUCCUUGACCUCAUUUUCAUGGUUCAGUGACUACUUGAAAAAAAAGUUAAGAUUUUUUGUAAUGUUAGAUUCUCUCUUAUUAUAAGUAAUAGAAUAACUCUAUUUGGUAUGUGCGUACCUUGCAAGGUCCUCAUGCCCGUCAGACAGUUUUCACUUGACCUCGACCUCAUUUCAUGGAUCAGUGAACAAGGUUAAGUUUUGGUGGUCAAGUCCAUAUCUCAGAUACUAUAAGCAAUAGGUCUAGUAUAUUCGGUGUAUGGAAGGACUGUAAGGUGUACAUGUCCAACUGGCAGGUGUCAUCUGACCUUGACCUCAUUUUCAUGGUUCAGUGGUUAUAGUUAAGUUUUUGUGUUUUGGUCUGUUUUUCCUAUACUGUAUGCCAUAGGUCUACUAUAUUUGGUGUAUGGAAUGAUUGUAAGAUGUACAUGUCUAGCGGGCAGGUGUCAUCUAACCUUGACCUCAUUUUCAUGGUUCAGUGGUCAAAGUUAAGUUUUUGAGUUUUGGUCUUUUUUUCUUAUACUAUAUGCAAUAGUUCAACUAUAUUUGGUAUGUGCGUACCUUGCAAGGUCCUCAUGCCCGUCAGACAGUUUUCACUUGACCUCGACCUCAUUUCAUGGAUCAGUGAACAAAGUUAAGUUUUGGUGGUCAAGUCCAUAUCUCAGAUACUAUAAGCAAUAGGUCUAGUAUAUUCGGUGUAUUGAAGGACUGUAAGGUGUACAUGUCUAACUGGCAGGUGUCAUCUGACCUUGACCUCAUUUUCAUGGUUCAGUGGUUAUAGUUAAGUUUUUGUGUUUUGGUCUGUUUUUCCUAUACUGUAUGCCAUAGGUCUACUAUAUUUGGUGUAUGGAAUGAUUGUAAGAUGUACAUGUCUAGCGGGCAGGUGUCAUCUGACCUUGACCUCAUUUUCAUGGUUCAGUGGUUAUAGUUAAGUUUUUGUGUUUUGGUCUGUUUUUCUUAUACUGUAUGCCAUAGGCCUACUAUAGUUGGUGUAUGGAAUGAUUGUAAGGUGUACAUGUCUAGCGGGCAGGUGUCAUCUGACCUUGACCUCAUUUUCAUGGUUCAGUGGUCAAAGUUAAGUUUUUGAGUUUUGGUCUUUUUUUCUAAUACUAUAUGCAAUAGUUCAACUAUAUUUGGUGUAUGGAAAUAUUUUAUGAUCUAUUUGUCAGUCACACAGUUUUUUUUUUACCUUGACCUCAUAUUCAAGGUUCAUUGCUCAGUGUUAAGUUUUUGUGUUUUGGUCUGUUUUUCUUAAACUAAAAGCAAUAGGUCAACUAUAUUUGUUGUAUGGAAGAAUUGUUAGCUGUACAUGCCUGCCUAGCAUGGUUCAUCUGACCUUGACCUCAUUUUCAUGGUUCAUUGGUCAAUGUUUAGUUAACUUGGUUAAUAAUAAGUUUAUGUGACAGUUGUAAUAAAGCUUUAUAUUUAGGACUAUCAACAUAAUAUCAAUGAUAAGUAAAGAAGGCGAGACAUUUCAGUGUGUGCACUCUUGUUAUUUUAAAAAUAUUUUUGCUAAAAAAAUUACCAGUAUGGUAUUUGUUAUAAAGCAACAGAAUAAGGUAGGAAAACGAGGUACUGAUUUGUCUUGGUCCUGAAAUGUCUCCUGCGUUACCAAACUGUCUAUUAAUUAUGUUUAUUGAAUAUGUCUCCUACGGUGCCAAACUGUCUAUUAAACUUGGAGCCGAAUCGCUUCCGAGCUGGUGAUGAACUGUCUUGUAAAGUUACCUUAUCUACAAAGCGCAGCAUAUUGGAUCAGUAAGACUGGUUUCCGAGAACCUGUUAAAAAGUACCUGACAAAGAACCAGUUUUAAAUUAUCGAUUGCAAGUAAACAUGUCAAAUUAAUA